CACCGUUGAAACACCGGUUCUCGUACGAUCACUAAAAUUAAGCAACGUCGAGCCUGGUCAUUACCUAGAUGGGUGACCGCUUGAUAAUACCAAGCGGUGUAAG